UAGAGCCUGCACAUCAAAAUUCCAAAAAAAAAAAACUAGAGCUUGGCAAGUUUUUCCAACCUCCCAAAAAAAAAAGCCAAUAAAGGUAUGGUUCCACCAGGUCAAGACACAAAUAAAGACGCUUUAAACAUGGAUGCCUGCAAUCUUUCACUUUCAGUUGCCGGACCCAGAUCGUGAAAGCCCUUUUGGACGAUAUGAUAUACUACUACUCUAAUUCUUUGGUCCUCUCGCCGAAAAACGAAGUUGCUGAGGAACCGUGAUGAGGAGGGCGAAUAGCAGAGGAAGAUGAUGCACU
rnacentral:lncRNA from 1 species